rnacentral:hammerhead_ribozyme from 1 species
GCACUGCUGAGGAGUCCCACAAUAGGACGAAAAGGCCCUCCGGUGC